AGUUAUGUGGCCGAAUAGAGGUGUUAGUCUCUUAAAUUAAUUAUGAAUAAUGUAGUUAAAUUAAUAUUAACUU
rnacentral:tRNA from 1 species